CAACUAUUGCCCGGGUCCUUCCAAUAUUACUUCCUGUUUGUUGCCUCUGCUUGUGGUUCAAGGACUGUGAUAUGGAAUAUCUGGUGUAAUUCCUGGCCUUUCCAGUUUAUGUGGGUACUUGAUAAACGAAGGCAAAGCACGACAGACUGUUUGCCGCCACAACCCGGGUAACCCAUGACCUCCUGUCAAAAGGAUGUCCAAAUACUCUGCACCAACCUGUACCUCAGAGGACUGGGGUAAUAGUACAUUGGAGCUUUAGACUAAGAUUUCAUAUAUUUGCUGUGUUUCCACUACUUGUGUGUGUAUAUGGCUUGGAUCUGCAGUGGUCUUUAAUAUUUUGUGUGUAAGGCUUUCGCCCUUGUGUAUCCAUUCACAGUGAUCUUAUUCCCUUUCGGGCAGGCUCCAUGUGUAUUCUGCCCUAGUGGCCAGUCAUGGUUACAGUUGUGUAGGAGGUUGUUGUUUUUUUCUAUUUUUUAAAAUUUAUUUAAACAAAUAAAUGCUAUG